rnacentral:rRNA from 1 species
UACGUAGGCAGCGAGCGUUGUUCGGAGUUACUGGGCGUAAAGAGUGCGUGGGCGGUUUUCUAAGUUUGGUGUGAAAUCUCCCGGCUUAACUGGGAGGGUGCGCCGAAAACUGGAAGGCUUGAGUAUGGGAGAGGUAAGCGGAAUUCCUGGUGUAGCGGUGAAAUGCGUAGAUAUCAGGAGGAACACCUGCGGUGUAGACGGCUUACUGGACCAUAACUGACGCUGAGGUGCGAAAGCGUGGGGAGCAAACAGG